rnacentral:rRNA from 1 species
GUGGAAGUGCUCGAAAGAGAACUUGAACACAGGUGCUGCAUGGCCGUCGUCAGCUCGUGUCGUGAGAUGUUGGGUUAAGUCCCGCAACGAGCGCAACCCUUGUCAUUAGUUGCUACGCAAGAGCACUCUAAUGAGACUGCCGGUGACAAACCGGAGGAAGGUGGGGAUGACGUCAGGUCCUCAUGGCCCUUAUGGGUAGGGCUACACACGUCAUACAAUGGCCGGUACAGAGGGCUGCCAACCCGCGAGGGGGAGCCAAUCCCAGAAAACCGGUCGUAGUCCGGAUCGUAGUCUGCAACUCGACUGCGUGAAGUCGGAAUCGCUAGUAAUCGCGGAUCAGCACGCCGCGUCAUCGUCCGGCCUU